CUCUUUACACUGUGCCGCAGGAAGUUUAAUAUUUACCUGUUUGGUAAAGGGUAAAUAACAUUUAAGAAGUGAAGAACCAAAGUUUCUUUACUGCAGAAAAUAUAUCCAUCAACUGUUGACACGGGAAGAGCUGUUGCUCUCGAAUGUCCGUCAGUGUAAUCACGCAACUGGUAGAGUUGAAACUUUCAAUUAACAAACUACACGCCCUUUCAAGUGCAGGCUGGGCGCAGGGACAAGCACUGCGCCGGAAUCAAUACUCCACGCCACUCGGCUGCAUGUAAUGAGUUACAUCAAGCAGGGUUCCACCACCGGGCAUUGUUUGCCGGAGAUGCAAGCAGUAAGUCUUAAACCAGGGAAAACCAAACGAAGCCACGACACUGUCGUGGCUUGGAACUGUUGUUGCCGUGUGCUCACCUCACCGGCAACUCGACGUGUCCUUGGCAGGCUGCGGCUGCCCGACCUCUGAGGGACCCACAAGCCGCCCCCCAUCUGAGCUCUGACUGCUUUCCUAGAGCCAAAAGGGCGAGGGGGAGGCGAUGGAAAGCAAACACACGACUGCUCCGCAAAACAACAGCGUGAGUUUAUUUCCAGGAAAUCGGGCAGUCUCAACAAGAGACGAACUGUCAAGUACAAAAAAAUUGGAGAAGGAAGAUCAUUUAAAACUGAUUGAAUACAUCAGGCAUUCAAGAAUACAUUUUGUGGGGUUAAGAGCUCGUUCACAAAGUCCAAGCCUGAUGGAGAUUAACAUGGCUGAAUCCUAUGGGCUCUGCGUGAUUUUCUCCCAGCUAUUUUUGAGAUUUCGUGAGAUGAGGAAGUUAAGAUGA
rnacentral:lncRNA from 1 species